CUUCCUCCUCUUCCCCUUCUUCCUCUGCUUCUUCUUUUUCCUCCCCCUCUUCUUCCUCCGCUUCCUCCACCUCUUCCUCUUCCUCUUCUUCCUCCUUUCCUCCUCGCCUUCCUCUUCCUCCUCUUCUUUCUCCCCUUCUUCCACUUCCUCGUCUUCCUCCUUCCCUUCUUUCUCCUUUUCCUCUUCCUCUUCCACUUCCUCCUCUUCCUCUUCUUCUUUCUCCCCUUCUUCCACUUCCUCCACCUCUUUCUCUUCCACUUCUCCCUCCUUUCCUCCUCUCCUUCCUCAUCUUCCUCUCCUUCUUUCUCCUCUUCCUCCUUCUUCCUCUUCCUCCUUCCUCCUCUUCCUCCUUCCUCCUCUUCCUCCUUCCUCCUCUUCCUCCUUCCUCCUCUUCCUCCUUCCUCCUCUUCUUCUCUUCUUUCUCCUUCCUCUUCUUCCUCCUUCAACCUGAGCUUCCUCUUCCUCCUUCUUCCUUCUCUUCCCCCUCCUUCAACCUCACCUUCCUCUUCCUCCUUCCUCCUCCUCUUCCUCCUCCUUCCUCUUUUUUCUCUUCCUCUUCCUCCUUCUUCCUCCUCUUCCCCCUCCCUCAACCUCAACUUCCUCUUCCUCCUCCCAUUUCCUCCUCCUCGCCCAACACNNNNNNNNNNNNNNNNNNNNCCACCGUUACCCCAUGUGGGAGGGGGGAGGUUGGCAUUAAUUAGCGCGGCCUCGUUAACGAAGGCCCUGUUUGUGGGAGGGGAGGGGCUGUAAAUAUUGCGCUGCCAAAAUGGAGAUUUUUUUUACACUGCUGUCGCUGCGUUGUUUUUGGGGUCGUUUGGGGGACAUUUGGGGGGACAUUGGGGGACAAUGGGGGAAAUUUGGGAUAUUAUGGGAUGUUAUGGGACAUUGGGGACAUUUUGGGGGGACAGUGGGGGAUAUUUGGGAUAUUAUGGGACAUUGGGGACAUUUUGGGGG
rnacentral:lncRNA from 1 species